AUGGACCCCCGCCACCUCGGCGUCGGCGCAACCCCCGGCAGCGGCGGGAGUGGCGGCCAAUCAGUGGACGCGUCAGCGAGGCGCCGCCGCCGCAUGUCGGCCCCGUUGACAGGCACCCGCCUCAUGCUGGCCUUCAACGAUGCUGCUGGUGACGGUCAUGGCGGGAGGUCGUCCUCGUCGUCGUCGUCUUCCGGAGGGUUGGACCUCUCGUUAGAUGAACCGCACCCCCGCUACAGUCACCACCGUGUCUACCCCGAGUUCUCUCCGAUGUCGAAUAUGGGGCGCCUCCUCUUUCAUGGCUCUCCACUAGGGUCGCCUACGACCGACGACGAUGUCCUCGUCAUGGAUGGUGUGCUCGUUGCCGACGGCUUCAGCCCUGGCCCCAAGCGCUACGCCUCCUUCACUGACCUACGCUUGGUCCACACCAACUCCCCUGGCUCGGGCGGCAGCGGUCGCCACGGCUCCAGUCUCCAGCAAAACUGUAUGGUUUAUGGUCUGGAAGAUUGCGUGGUGUUAACGGAAAUAAACAUCAUUGAUGAAUCUGAAAACGAAGUUAAGUCAUGA
rnacentral:rRNA from 1 species